rnacentral:rRNA from 1 species
UACGAAGGGGGCUAGCGUUGCUCGGAAUUACUGGGCGUAAAGCGCGUGUAGGCUGCUUCGCAAGUCGGAUGUGAAAGCCCUGGGCUCAACCCAGGAAGUGCAUUCGAAACUGCAAAACUGGAGUCCUGGAGAGGAAGGCGGAAUUCUCGGUGUAGAGGUGAAAUUCGUAAAUAUCGAAAGGAACACCAGUGACAAAAGCGGCCUUCUGGACAGUGACUGACGCUAAGACGCGAAAGCGUGGGGAGCAAACAGG